UACGUAGGGGGCAAGCGUUAUCCGGAAUUACUGGGUGUAAAGGGUGCGUAGGUGGCAUGGUAAGUCAGAUGUGAAAACUUGGGGCUCAACUUCAAGAUUGCAUCUGAAACUGCUAAGCUAGAGUGCAGGAGAGGAAAGCGGAAUUCCGAGUGUAGCGGUGAAAUGCGUAGAGAUUCGGAGGAACACCAGUAGCGAAGGCGGCUUUCUGGACUGUAACUGACACUGAGGCACGAAAGCGUGGGGAGCGAACAGG
rnacentral:rRNA from 1 species